GAACGAGACCUUCGGGUCUAAUGGCGCACGGGUGCGUAACGCGUGGGAAUCUGCCCUUGGGUUCGGAAUAACAGUUAGAAAUGACUGCUAAUACCGGAUGAUGACGUAAGUCCAAAGAUUUAUCGCCCAAGGAUGAGCCCGCGUAGGAUUAGCUUGUUGGUGAGGUAAAAGCUCACCAAGGCGACGAUCCUUAGCUGGUCUGAGAGGAUGAUCAGCCACACUGGGACUGAGACACGGGCCACACUCCUACGGGAGGCAGCAGUGGGGAAUAUUGGACAAUGGGCGAAAGCCUGAUCCAGCAAUGCCGCGUGAGUGAUGAAGGCCUUAGGGUUGUACAGCUCUUUUACCCGGGGAUGAUAAUGACAGUACCGGGAGAAUAAGCUCCGGCUAAUUCCGGG
rnacentral:rRNA from 1 species